GACCGCCAUAGCGGAAGGAACGAAGCAUGUGCCCCUAGAUGAGUAGAUCUAUCUUGCGGCGAACAUGCAUCAGACUCGACGCGAUAUGCAGUCAGCACUGGUUAUUUUGUUGUUAAACUAUCUGGGACAUUUUUUUUUUGGUCAUGUCUGUUUGUCUUCUAUUGUCAACUUUAUCCUUCGCCAUAACCUUCGAAUCAUGACUGAUGAGAUCUAGAGACUUCAUAUUUGUAUCAUUAGGGGCCUACCAUGCUGCCGUUACUCAUUCGUGGUGUAUAUCUGCAUUCGAUCAACAAAAAGAGGUACCAGUUUGAAAAUCAUAAGGAAAAGAAUCCAUCUGUCUUCUGAUGAGGGAACGCAACAAACUUAUUCCUCACAAACACUGUCGUCCGAAUCUGAGUCAUCAAUUGCUGCUGCAUCCUGAAGCGAUUCCCCCCAGUUCUGUACACCAUAUGAACCACUCCUUUGUUCAUGUCUGGAGAAUCCAAGAAACCACAGCACAGCUGCCACAUGCGAACACACUCCCACGACACGCGCUCCAGCUCGGCAUUUGCAGUACGUGGCUAUCACCUGUGUCUCAUUAAACUGGAUCCAUAAUGUGUGCUUCCUGGAUGAGACGUGUCUAGAUUGCAUCUUCACCUGAAUUAGCCCUGGAUCCUCACGAUGGACAUAGAUGUCUGCUUCCCCUUCUAUGUGUUCCUGAAUGUAGCUAGAACUUAGCCGAAGUUGGUAACUACCACAAGUAAUGUUGGACAGAUCCUCCUCGUCGAGUUGUGGAAAUCCAUCCAAAGUAUCAAUCGACUUCCAAAUGACACUUCGUCUGUCUAGACCAUUUUCCAAAACAUAAUGUUGCAGGUAGUUCUUCUGAUGGGAAAGGUACAGCAUCUUUGCUGCAAUGUGUUCAUCAUCAGCUGUAGUUUUGGACAGAGGGGGUGCAAACUUAUUGGACAAAGCGCAAACAAUGCGGACAUAGUCGCCAAUGUAAGGCACUUGAUUUGUUGAAAUACUUACUUUUGAUACAAGUCUGGAGGAAUUGGCAUCUUCAGUGGAAAGUUGUUUCUCUCCUUUUUUAAGGAAGGAUGGCAUCUGGGCUUUUAUACCGAGAUCCUCUAGUACUUGAAGGGAGUCCCGAAAACCGCGAUCAACAACAAAUACAUCAUCUUCCUGGACCCAUUCACGCAUUGCAUCAGCAUUUCUACUCAUGGCAUGGUUGAGGAUAGCUGCGUCAUUGUUCUUCGAAUCUGCAAAGUAUGGGCCUAAAAUGGACAGGAUGUAUCCAGAUGUAGAGCAGAUGACCAUGGGCUUAACCAGGGGACGUCCUUUGUGCAUGCUAUAGGUGCGCCUUUGGAAUUUGAAGUUUUCACUUUUUUGGAUAUAGAUGUAAGUUCCAUCUAUUACCAGAAUGGCCUUGGGGUCCCCUGCAUCACCAAAUAAAAACUGAGCUAAUGGCCUCGUGUGAUCGGAAAUGAUGGCCUCCCUUGAAAUAUGUUGAAAACCAAGGUUGUUUGGUACGAAAGUUGACAUCAGUGAUUUUCUUACAGAAGAAAUUGCACGACGCAAGCUUGAUUUUGAUAUUCCAAAUAAGGUGGCCAUGAUUUUGUUUGGAAGUCCAGACUUCAUCUUCAUAAGAAAGAUGGCAACGGAUGCCUUGAUGCUUCUACUGGGUGUGUUGCGCAUUUCCUGUGAGGCACAAUUGCAGAGAUCCUCAAAGUCCCUCUUGUUCAGCCCUGUCAAAUUCAGAUAAUCUUCAUCCGACAUCUCUCUAUCAUCAUCAAAAUCUAAUCUUGACUUGGAAAUUGAUGCCACGAUAUCUUUAAGUUUAGAUAUCAGAGCCAUGAUAUCCUCGCCAUCCAACAAGACCUGAUCUCGAAAGUGAACAUAAUCACCAUCCACUAUCCUUCCAUCUUUAAUAUGGUUUGGACAACAUCUUGCACCCGCUGGCAACAGGAUGUUAUGCUGGGCAAAAAAAUGUACCCUAGCAUCUGAAGAAACAGAUAACAAUUUUGGUCCUGGGCGCUUGCAGAGACAGCAAUAGGCAUGGGUUUUUACCGUUGUUUUGAUGGGGAGGCUGAUAACAGUUUGGCCAGGUUCACAAUUGUCUGCUUGAAUUACUUCUGACGCACUGAACUGUUUUUUUUUGUAAAAAUUCAAAUUACACUUCGUGCAGAUAACAUCUCCUUCCUGAGCCUCAACCAUGAAGUUUUUUUGUAAGUACUUAGCAGUGUCUUUAUGGACAUGUUUACGAGUUUUAGGCUUUGUUCUGCAUUUACAGAGUAUGCAGUUGAAGAAUUUGGGUCCAAAACCAGGCAUUCUAAAGUGAAAAUAAAGUUUAUUUUCUUUUAAUAAAAAAAUAUUGUUGUAUUGUAGUAAGGUCACAUUUAAUAAAAUUUAUCAAAAUAUUAAAUGUGUUUGAUUAUAUUAUUUAAUGUGAUUUCAAUGUUUACCUGGCCAUGUGCUUGUGUUGUGAUUUGAGUUGUGUGUAGUGUUUUGUCUAGUUUGGUAGUGUCAUGUAAUGCAUUAUUAUGGUAAUUGAGGCCUUGCCCUUUCCUGUCAUCGGUUAGGUCAGUUAGGUCAUUGCUGAGUAUAGUAUGUACUUGUUAUUUUAGAUAUUUUUAUUACUUUGAAUUGGUUAAUGAAGCUACUGGCUGUAAAGUAUGUUUGACAAAUAUUUUUGAUCUACCAAGCUUAAUCAUCAAAAUCUAUUUUUUACUUCUACUUUUAUGUUUUAUCUGUAAAGCUCUAUGAAUCUGUCCAGUUGAAAUUAAGAGUUAUUGCCCUUUGUUCAGAGUGCAGUACUGUAUAUAUUUAUCAUGAGGUACAUGUAAAGCAUAAUAUUGAACAUUUUGUCAUAUACUAUUAUAUUUCAUGUGAUGUAUAUUAUUUGUUUAUGCUUGUAAUUAUUUGCUUUACAGAUUUAAAUGUAUUUAUAUUUAUGUUUAUAAUUUUAGGGCUAAUCAUCAAUCAUUGAUCUAUCAGAAUAUAAUAAAUUCAUGAACCCUUACAGUGUCUUAUUCUUAUUGGACCUGUAACAGUAUGAAUCCUCAGAUAUGAGAGACAAGUUUAGUCAUCUUAAUAUUUCAGAUUUCAAAGAAUUAAUUUUUUAUUGAUUUGUACUUUAUGACUGUCAUUUAUUAUAUAUACUGUAAAUAAAAAUGAGGAUGUAUGAAA